CAGCUGUGGAAACUUCUGCAGGAACAACCGACCGAGAGCUGCUGCUGUUUUAAAGGCAAAGUGUGAUCACGCCAAACGUUGACUUUAUUUAGAACUAUUGUGCGACCCACCUGCUCUCCAUCACCACCAUGACCUCCAUGAUAUCCAGAGAGACUCGUCCAUCAACCGCCUGCCUGCUGGCUCCACUCCACCACCACCACCACCACCACCAGCGUCUAGACUCCAGGGGGGAUCCUGUCCUGUCUCCUGUCUUCAUUAUGCUUUAUGAGGAUGCUUCACAUCGAUGGAGUCUAAUCACCAAAACUCUGUCUGACGCUAACAUCAAUAAAUAUUGUUAUACAUUUCCAA